rnacentral:lncRNA from 1 species
CCUAACUGCCUAAAAAAGGAAAGGGGAGUGUAAACAAGUAGGAGACAGAUCUAAAAUAAAUGCAUUACCGAUAGAAAGAGGAUUCGGUAUUUACCUCUGGGAUGAAGUUCUGAGUGAUUGGCGUGGUCGCCGGUGCAGAUGCGGAUGAUGGGGCCGCGAUGGGGAUCGCCAUUGGGAUCUCCGAUGAAGCUCCUUCUUCUGUGGAUGGAGCAACGGCCGUCGCCACUACCGCCGGAGGUGCUACUUCUGCAACGUCGCGCGCUGGAGAGCUGCCGGAAGGAGCCGCCAUUGGAAGAGAAGCUGAAGAGAGAAGAGGGCGCGCGCGCUUGGAAAGAGAGAC